UACAGGGGGUGCAAACGUUGCUCGGAAUUAUUGGGCGUAAAGCGCGCGUAGGCGGCUACUUAAGUCGGAUGUGAAAGCCCUUGGCUCAACUGAGGAAGUGCACCCGAAACUGAGUGGCUAGAGUACAAAAGAGGGUCGCGGAAUUCCCGGUGUAGAGGUGAAAUUCGUAGAUAUCGGGAGGAACACCGGUGGCGAAGGCGGCGACCUGGGUCGAUACUGACGCUGAUGCGCGAAAGCGUGGGGAGCAAACAGG
rnacentral:rRNA from 1 species